ACACGUGGGUAACCUGCCCAGAAGUAGGGGAUAACACCUGGAAACAGAUGCUAAUACCGUAUAACAGAGAAAACCGCAUGGUUUUCUUUUAAAAGAUGGCUCUGCUAUCACUUCUGGAUGGACCCGCGGCGUAUUAGCUAGUUGGUGAGGUAAAGGCUCACCAAGGCAGUGAUACGUAGCCGACCUGAGAGGGUAAUCGGCCACAUUGGGACUGAGACACGGCCCAGACUCCUACGGGAGGCAGCAGUAGGGAAUCUUCCACAAUGGACGCAAGUCUGAUGGAGCAACGCCGCGUGAGUGAAGAAGGGUUUCGGCUCGUAAAGCUCUGUUGUUAAAGAAGAACGUGGGUAAGAGUAACUGUUUACCCAGUGACGGUAUUUAACCAGAAAGCCACGGCUAACUACGUGCCAGCAGCCGCGGUAAUACGUAGGUGGCAAGCGUUAUCCGGAUUUAUUGGGCGUAA
rnacentral:rRNA from 1 species